rnacentral:rRNA from 1 species
GAAUUUGACGGGGACCCGCACAAGCGGUGGAGCAUGUGGUUUAAUUCGAAGCAACGCGAAGAACCUUACCAAGUCUUGACAUCGGAAUGACCGGUCCGUAACGGGGCCUUCCCUACGGGGCAUUCCAGACAGGUGGUGCAUGGUUGUCGUCAGCUCGUGUCGUGAGAUGUUGGGUUAAGUCCCGCAACGAGCGCAACCCUUAUCCUUAGUAGCCAGCAGUUCGGCUGGGCACUCUGGGGAGACUGCCAGGGAUAACCUGGAGGAAGGUGGGGAUGACGUCAAAUCAUCAUGCCCUUA